UUCCCAGGGUGAGCCACGUGAUGGGGUCUCAGAAACCAGCGCUUCAGGGGAAGUGUCAGGAGCAGGCUUUCUGCCUUGGAAUCUCCAAGUGCCUAUUUGAAUGCAAAGUCCCGGACCUUUCUGACCCACUCAGUAUCUACCUCUCUGCCAGGGAUCUGUGGGUACAUCUAUGUCUAAGAACCUUGCUGAGGCCAGGCGUGGUGGCUCAUGCCUGUAAGCUCAGCACUUUGGGAGGCCAAGGCAGGAAGAUCACUUGAGGUCAGGAGUUCCAGACCAGCCUGGCCAACGUGGUCAGAGGGGAGCAUCACCAGGCAAAACACAGGCCGGUUACAUUUGAAUGUCAGACACACAGCAAAUCGUCUUUUAGUAUAAGUCCGUCCCAGAUUUACAUGGGAGGGUGUUAUCUGAAAUUCAAAUUUACGUGGGUGUUUUAUAUUUUUAUUUGCAAAAUCUAGAAAUCUUCACUGAAAGAUGCCAAGCAGCUGGAGUUUGAGUUGGGGUUUUGGUUUUUCUCUUUUUUCUUUUCUUUUCUUUCUUUCUUUUCUUUUUUUUUUUUUUUUUUUUUGAGACAGUCUCACUCUGUUGCCCAGGUUGCAGUGCAAUGGCAUGAACACAGCUCACUGCAUUCUCAAUCUCCUGGGCUCAAGUGAUCCUCCUGCCUCAGCCUCCCAUGGAGCUGGGACCACAGGUGCAUGCCACCACAUCCGGCUAAUAUUUUUUAUUUUUUGUAGAGAUGGGGGUCUCACUUUGUUGCCCAGGCUGGUCUUAAACUCCCAGGCUCAAGUCAUUCUCCCAUCUCAUCCUCCCAAAGUGCUGACAUUACAGGUGCGAGCCACUGCACCACGGCUUUUGUUUUUUCAAAUCACCUGAUGAGAGGAGUCAAAAAAUAAAAAUACAAAGUUAAGUGAAAAGCAGGAUAUCAUUAUUUGUUUUUUGUUUUGUUUUUGAGAAGAAGUCUCCCUCUGUCACCCAGGCUGGAGUACAGUGGCACCAUCUUGGCUCACUGCAACCUCCGCCUCCCUGGCUCAAGUGAUUCUCUCACCUCAGCCUUCCUAGUAGCUGGGACCACAGACACAUGCCACCAUGCAUGGCUAAUUUUUUUGUAUUUUUUAGUAGAGACAGGGUUUCACCAUGUUGCCCAGGCUGGUCUCGAACUCCUGAGCUCAAGUGAUCCAUCUGCCUUGGCCUCCCAAAGUACUAGGAUUACAGGUGUGAGCCACUGCGAGUGGCCAAAUGAUAAUGUUUUUAAAAUUUAAUGUAUUUAAUGUAUUCACAUAGAGAGAACGACCCGGAUAUAGACACCAACCAAGCCUGAGAUAGAGACAGAAGAAAGAUUGGAAGGAAAUCCCCAAAGCUUAACAGUGUCUGUCUCUGUGUCAUAAGAUUAUAGGCAAUUGGCCUUUCUCUCUCUUCCUUCUUUUUUCUCUCUCUCUCUUUUCUUUUCUUUUCUUUCUUUCUUUCUUUCUUUCUUUCUUUCUUUCUUUCUUUCUUUCUUUCUUCUUUCUUUCUUUCUCUUUCUUCUUUCUUUCUUUCUCUUUUUUCUUUCUUCCUCUUUCUUUUUUCCUUCCUUCCUUUCUUCCUUCUUCCCCUCUCUCUCUCCCUUCCUUUUUGAAUUUUCCAGUAAAUAUGUAUUUCUUUAUGACAAAAAAUAUAUUUAAAACCAAUCACUAGGGGCCUGGUGCAGUGGCUCACGCCUGUAAUCCCAGCACUUUGGGAGGCCAAGGUGGGUGAAUCACUUGAGCUCAGGACUUUAAGCAGCCUGGGCAACAUGGUGAAACCCUGUCUCUACGGAAAAAAAUACAAAAAUUAG
rnacentral:lncRNA from 10 species